rnacentral:rRNA from 1 species
GACGAACGCUGGCGGCGUGCCUAAUACAUGCAAGUCGAGCGGAAGUUGGAGAGCUUGCUCUUCAACUUUAGCGGCGGACGGGUGAGUAACACGUGGGCAACCUGCCCUGCAGAUCGGGGUAACUCCGGGAAACCGGUGCUAAUACCGAAUAGUUUUCGCCACCUCCUGGUGGCGUACGGAAAGACGGUUUCGGCUGUCACUGCAGGAUGGGCCCGCGGCGCAUUAGCUAGUUGGUGGGGUAACGGCCCACCAAGGCGACGAUGCGUAGCCGACCUGAGAGGGUGAUCGGCCACACUGGGACUGAGACACGGCCCAGACUCCUACGGGAGGCAGCAGUAGGGAAUCUUCCGCAAUGGACGAAAGUCUGACGGAGCAACGCCGCGUGAGUGACGAAGGUUUUCGGAUCGUAAAACUCUGUCGUGAGGGAAGAACAAGUACCACUUAACUACUGGUACCUUGACGGUACCUCACCAGAAAGCCACGGCUAACUACGUGCCAGCAGCCGCAGUAACAC